rnacentral:rRNA from 1 species
GGUCGAGUCGGCCUGCGCGGAAGAUGUAACGGGGCUAAACCAUGCACCGAAGCUGCGGCAGCGAACGUAUCACUUAAAGCGAUUCAGCGGGUUACGAUUGACGGAGCGAAGCGACGUCAAAGCGUAUACAAAGUCGAGUCGGUUUAAGGAUACGUUCGUUGGGUAGGGGAGCGUUCUGUAAGCCUGUGAAGGUGUGUCGUGAGGCAUGCUGGAGGUAUCAGAAGUGCGAAUGCUGACAUAAGUAACGAUAAAGCGGGUGAAAAGCCCGCUCGCCGGAAGACCAAGGGUUCCUGUCCAACGUUAAUCGGGGCAGGGUGAGUCGACCCCUAAGGCGAGGCCGAAAGGCGUAGUCGAUGGGAAACGGGUUAAUAUUCCCGUACUUGGUGUUACUGCGAAGGGGGGACGGAGAAGGCUAUGUUGGCCGGGCGACGGUUGUCCCGGUUUAAGCGUGUAGGUGUGUGUUCCAGGUAAAUCCGGUUCACUUUAACACUGAGGCGUGACGACGAGGCACUACGGUGCUGAAGCAACAAAUGCCCUGCUUCCAGGAAAAGCCUCUAAGCAUCAGGUAACAUCAAAUCGUACCCCAAACCGACACAGGUGGUCAGGUAGAGAAUACCAAGGCGCUUGAGAGAACUCGGGUGAAGGAACUAGGCAAAAUGGUGCCGUAACUUCGGGAGAAGGCACGCUGACACGUAGGUGAAGUGAUUUACUCAUGGAGCUGAAGUCAGUCGAAGAUACCAGCUGGCUGCAACUGUUUAUUAAAAACACAGCACUGUGCAAACACGAAAGUGGACGUAUACGGUGUGACGCCUGCCCGGUGCCGGAAGGUUAAUUGAUGGGGUCAGCGCAAGCGAAGCUCCUGAUCGAAGCCCCGGUAAACGGCGGCCGUAACUAUAACGGUCCUAAGGUAGCGAAAUUCCUUGUCGGGUAAGUUCCGACCUGCACGAAUGGCGUAAUGAUGGCCAGGCUGUCUCCACCCGAGACUCAGUGAAAUUGAACUCGCUGUGAAGAUGCAGUGUACCCGCGGCAAGACGGAAAGACCCCGUGAACCUUUACUAUAGCUUGACACUGAACAUUGAGCCUUGAUGUGUAG